rnacentral:rRNA from 1 species
CUCGUAGGCGGCCAACUAAGUCAGACGUGAAAUCCCUCGGCUUAACCGGGGAACUGCAUCUGAUACUGGAUGGCUUGAGAUUGGGAGAGGGAUGCGGAAUUCCAGGUGUAGCGGUGAAAUGCGUAGAUAUCUGGAGGAACACCGGUGGCGAAGGCGGCAUCCUGGACCAACACUGACGCUGAGGAGCGAAAGCCAGGGAGCAAACG